AGGCAGCAGUGGGGAAUAUUGGACAAUGGGCGAAAGCCUGAUCCAGCCAUGCCGCGUGUGUGAAGAAGGCCUUAUGGUUGUAAAGCACUUUAAGUGGGGAGGAAAAGCUUAUGGAUAACACCCAUAGGUUCUGACGUUACCCACAGAAUAAGCACCGGCUAACUCUGUGCCAGCAGCCGCGGUAAUACAGAGGGUGCAAGCGUUAAUCGGAAUUACUGGGCGUAAAGCGAGCGUAGGUGGUUUAUUAAGUCAGAUGUGAAAUCCCUGGGCUUAACCUAGGAACUGCAUCUGAUACUGAUAAACUAGAGUAGGUGAGAGGAAAGUAGAAUUCCAGGUGUAGCGGUGAAAUGCGUAGAGAUCUGGAGGAAUACCGAUGGCGAAGGCAGCUUUCUGGCAUCAUACUGACACUGAGGUUCGAAAGCGUGGGUAGCAAACAGGAUUAGAUACCCUGGUAGUCCACGCCGUAAACGAUGUCUACCAGUCGUUGGGUCUUUUAAAGGCUUAGUGACGCAGUUAACGCGAUAAGUAGACCGCCUGGGG
rnacentral:rRNA from 1 species